rnacentral:lncRNA from 1 species
GGGAGGCUCAGGCACGGCUGGGCUGCAGGUCCGGAGCCCUGCCCCGCGGGAAGGCAGCUAAGGACGGGCGAGAAAUUAAGCACAGCAGCUGCUGGCCCAGGUGCUAAGCCCCUCACUGCCUGGGGCUGGCGGGGCCGGCAGGCCGCUCCGAGUGCGGGCCCGCCGAGCCUACGCCCACCCGGAACUCGCGCUGGCCCGGAAGCACCGCGCGCAGCCCCGGUUCCGGCCCGCGCCUCUCCCUCCACACCUCCCCACAAGCUGAGGGAGCCGGCUGCGGCCUUCGCCAGCCCAGAAAGGGGCUCCUACAGUGCAGUGGCGGGCUGAAGGGCUGCUCAAGCGCCGCCAAAGUGGGAGCCCAGGCAGAGGAGGCGCCCAGAGCGAGCGAGGGCUGUGAGGACUGCCAGCACGCUGUCACCUCUCACUCAUAUAGAUUGCCAAUCUAUUUGUGAACCAGGUUUGCUGGAGUUUGGAUUUACUACUGAGUCAUAUUUGGAGCAUGCUGGAAUCUUACAACUGAGAUUACCGAGUCAGAAACUUGCAAACAUGAGUAACAUGGCCCUGCUCUGGAGACUACUGGGAACACAAACACAGCCAUUUAAGACAUCUACCUGCUUCUCCUUUGCCUUCCAUCAUGACUGAAAGUUGUCUGAGGUCUCCCAGCCACGUGUCCUGUACAGCCUGUGGAACUACUUUAAAGAAGAAUCAGAAAAUGGAGACUGGGAUUGGAAGCAGAGAUCCGAUGGCCAAAUUACAGUCUGCCACUGAAGCUAACACACCUAUGGUUUCAGAGUAUUCUUUAGUCUCUUCCACCAUGUGAGGGCACAGUGAAAGGAAGGACUUCUAUGGAGCAGAAUGUGGGCCCUUACCAACACUGAGUCUUCCAUUGCCUUGACCUUUAACUUCCCGGCCUUCACAACAGUGAGAAAUAAAUUUCUGUAG